GAAAAACACCCAUAUAUGCUUGGGCCUGUGUAGUUCAAACCCAUGUAGUUCAAACCCGUGUUUUUCAAGGGUCAAGGGCAGUCACUCUUGCUUAUCCUCAACGUCUCUGGUUACAAACCAGGGUUGUGGACGGAGGGCCAGCUUGCCCCGCUUAGUUCACACGCUGCCUCGUACUAUCCACACCCGUGGGUCGUCCUUCCCGUCUCAUUUCAUGGAUGAAGAAGUGGCCCAGGGAGGUUGAGACACUUCCCAAGGUCACAUAGCCAGAAAGUGGCAGAACUGGGGUAUGAACCAGAGUCUAUCUAACCCCCAAUUUUUUUUUUAACACUUUUCUAGCAUGUUCUAUGCUCCGGGCACUGUUUUAAUGACUUCACAAGUAUUAUCUCACUGCAUCCUAACAGCUCUGCGAGCUCAGUCUUCUCGUUGCCGGACAAGUCAGGGGGACGGAAGUGAGACAGAGGGCAUCCAGGACUUCCCACGGGUCGAGCGCCGUGCUACUGUAUUCUUUCACUCUCUUUGUUAAAAGACUUUCUAACAUCUUUGCUGGAUCAUUUUAUAAGGAUCAAAUUCAUCUCGAAACCACUGCUGUUACUUUAAUGACACCUUUCUGGAGACCCCAGCAGAGCACAGACCUUGCGCAUAAGGAAAUAGCCGAGCCGAGACUGAUGGUUCCAAACAGCACAGUGAACCAGCUGGGGAACGAAUGGGGGAUCCAAGCGCUUCCCCAGGCGCUUCCCCACCCGAACCUAGGAACUCAGGACGCCACUUCCGGGAGGCCUCACCUGGAUGCCCACUUCCCCUGGCUCAGGAGUUGGAGGCACUUCGACAGGCACUCUAGGGGCCUCUGGACUACAGGAGACUGCUUCCCUGGCCAACUCCAACAGUAGGAGUCUAUCUCUCAACUCAGCCGGCCUCUGCGUUGGAUCUCUUUGUCUCGAAGAUUUGCAACUCUUUCCGGCAACCUCAGAAAUGGUGUGGCCACGGUGGAGUCUCGUUCCAUCUGUGUUCUCUUCAGCUAAUGAAAAACUAUGGAGGUCUCGUUAAGCAGGAUAUACGGGAAGUCUCUGUGCUUUGGAAUUGGCUGAUCAAGAAUUUGGAGAACGGCAGUCAUGGUGGACAAUGAUGCACACCACUGUAAGGGGCCAGCACGCGGUGGAGGCCAACUGCUUUCCCACGGUCUCCGUCUGAAUCCUGCUUUCCCCACUGCUCCAUUUUGUAGCAGCAAUUGGCCAAAGGAAAGCAACCUACAGACCUGAGUCCAAAAGCAACCUAAAGACCUGAGUCUAACAAUCGGCAUUUCCUCCUGCAUGGUGAGGACAAUCUCUUUGUCUAACUUACAAGGAGGCUCUAAUUCCAAUUAGGACUCACAGUCAAGCUGUCACAUGAUGACUUUCGUAAAGUUGGGUGCGGCAUGAAUGAGCCCAGGGUAAUUCAAGCAUUCUUUCUUCUUCGGAUCACUUUUAUACUUCAAGAUUCUGGUCCCUUGACUUUUUAAUUGAUCUUCACUCAGCACCUCACGCUUGGAACGCUUCGGCCAGAAGGUUCUUUGUCCCGCUCCUCAGAAAUUAAUGGCGUGUGGGGAGAGUUUUAGGUGCACUGGGGGGAGCUCCAAUUAAAAGAGGCCUGGGUGGGGAUCUUCUGCAAAACAAUCAUCCUUUGAAUACGCGGAGGCUCACUUUGCCCAAAUCUGUCUGCUUCGCAAGUUUGUGUUUCGCGUAUUAGAGUUUCUUAAAAUAGGACUCACGGUUGAACCUCACUCAGGUUCUGAGUUAAAGUCUUGAGCCAGGUCUGCAGGGAGCAGAGCGAGCGAGCUGCUGUGUAGUGAUGAGGGCCACAGCCUCACGCUGAGCUCUAAAUCACAGCUAAAACCCCAGAGCUAAAAGCAUCAUUCCUCUCUGGCACUUUCGAUUUAAAAGCCAUGCUAUAUUUUUGUUUCCAAUUAUAGAAGGAGAAAAAUAAAAGCAUCUGGAACUCA